UACGUAGGGCGCAAGCGUUGUCCGGAAUUAUUGGGCGUAAAGAGCUCGUAGGCGGCCUGUCGCGUCUGCUGUGAAAUCCCGGGGCUCAACCCCGGGCCUGCAGUGGAUACGGGCUGGCUGGAGGCAGGCAGGGGAGAACGGAAUUCCUGGUGUAGCGGUGAAAUGCGCAGAUAUCAGGAGGAACACCGGUGGCGAAGGCGGUUCUCUGGGCCUGUUCUGACGCUGAGGAGCGACAGCGUGGGGAGCAAACAGG
rnacentral:rRNA from 1 species